AGGCCUAUAACUCAGAGGUUAGAGUGUACGCCUGAUAAGCGUAAAGCCAGUGGUUCAAAUCCACUUAGGCCUA
rnacentral:tRNA from 1 species